UACGUAGGGUGCGAGCGUUGUCCGGAAUUAUUGGGCGUAAAGAGCUCGUAGGCGGUUUGUCGCGUCGACUGUGAAAACCCGAGGCUUAACCUCGGGCCUGCAGUCGAUACGGGCAGACUAGAGUUCGGUAGGGGAGACUGGAAUUCCUGGUGUAGCGGUGAAAUGCGCAGAUAUCAGGAGGAACACCGGUGGCGAAGGCGGGUCUCUGGGCCGAUACUGACGCUGAGGCGCGAAAGCCAGGGGAGCGAACGGG
rnacentral:rRNA from 1 species